rnacentral:tRNA from 1 species
GAUCAUGUAGCACAGUGGUCAGUGCAGUCUGCCGGCAAUAGAAUGGCGCGGGUUCGAUUCCCGUGCGAUGUCA